rnacentral:rRNA from 1 species
UACGUAGGGAGCAAGCGUUGUUCGGAUUUACUGGGCGUAAAGCGCACGUAGGCGGCUUCUUAAGUCGGUGGUGAAAUCCUGGAGCUCAACUCCAGAACUGCCUUCGAUACUGGGAAGCUCGAGUCCGGGAGAGGUGAGUGGAACUGCGAGUGUAGAGGUGAAAUUCGUAGAUAUUCGCAAGAACACCAGUGGCGAAGGCGGCUCACUGGCCCGGUACUGACGCUGAGGUGCGAAAGCGUGGGGAGCAAACAGG